GGUAAAUAAGAUUAAAAUUGACUCACACUAAAUUUUAUUUUUUUAAUUUAAAUAAUAUUAUUUUUCCACUUUUAGAUGUCAUGAUCAUUUUUUUUUUAUCUAUUUACUAUCACUGCAAUUUUUUCAUUUGAUGAAAACAAACCAGCUUAUUUAAUUAGUAACAACUAUUACCUGAGUAAUAUAGUAUUCUUCUUGUGUUUUUUUUUUUAAAUGCGCCUGAGGCGACUUAGAUCAAAAAAGGAAGAAUAUAGUCUGUCAGACAACCGCAUGACCAUCCCCAGCCAAAUCAAUGAUUGGAGAACGAUCCUCUACAGCCAUGAUAAUCACGAGGAUCAUCAAGCCAUUACUCACGCUAUGAUCACACGGUCAUGAUUCAUCAACCAGACUUAGGUUCCUGUCUCCUUAGUGUUAAAGGAUACAGAGGUACGAUCCUAUAGAACAGAUCCUGUUCAAGUAAGGUCGUGACUAAGCUUGUUCCUCCAACGCUUUAUUACAACCUGUACUCCUUCGUUUGUUUCCGAUGUGGGAUUCUUGUUAAUGCUUCGUUCCAGGGUAUAUUUGUCCAGAAGAAGAAAGUUGGAGGACUCGUGCUUCUCAAAGUCCUGAUAAAAUCCAGAGGAGAGUGCAGUGAAAGUACUAGGAUACCCCCUGAGCUGCGGCGUUGUUAUUGCGGUAGUAUUUGUUAAUUUUAUAGGGACAACUAGCAGGAGGCUUCUUUGGAGUGUAAUAGUCAAGAGUUUCAAGCCUUUACAGGUUUUCCAUUACACUUUACGCUUUGCAGUCGCCAUACUGAUGACAUUAGAGCUGCCCUAUUUGCAUAAUUAGAUCUUGAAUUGCAUCUAGUUGCCCAAAAUUUGUCAGGAACUUUUCUGAACAAAUCAGAUUGCCUUCGAUUGUGACCAUUGAGCUAUUGGCCAUUGGAUGUGUACUCGUUAAGCAGCUGUGAGCUGAGCCUGGCAAGUUAACUUUGUACUGAAGAACAGAUAAAAGAAAGUGCGAAUGGAUUUUGCGGCGUCUUUGCCACAAGAAACAUUGGACUUCAUUAAGGUGUUAGUCAAUGAUGAUGAAUGGUAACCACAGACACGAGUUUAGCGGCUGUGCAUAUAUCCAUUGUCUUGUGUCUAUCUAACCAGGAGGGGAGCCCUGCAAAACUUCUCUACGCCGCAGUCAAGGCCUUCUUCGGCCCUAACAUACUUCUUGCCAAAGUGUUUCCGUGGUUCCAUAAGUGUAGGGAUGGUGAGGCAAGCAAUGGCCAGAACCUGAUUCCCCCAUUCUUGUACUUUCCAACCAACCAUCUUUGAAUUUGCCUCAAACCUUGUUCGCUGCCUUCAAGUAGUUGCUUGAUUCAUGGUCUCUUGGUAUUGUACCUACGGAGCCGUCGGCCGGGGGAUCGCUAAGAGUUUCCGGUGGACGGGGACAAUUCAGGAAUUGCACUUGCAGAGAACCCAUGAUGGGUUUUAUGAAAAGGGUGUGCCUGGAAGAGCCAUCAAAUUGCUCGAGGACUAUAUAUCUCUAUGCAUCACUACACAACAGACGUGUCGGGUUGAGCAUUGAGAUCUUGAAAAUCAUCGGGAUUAGUUUUGCUCGUGUUCUCUGGAUCCUCGAUGGCUUAACUGGGCUAGGAAAGCAAAAAAUAAAAAGAUGAAGAAGAUCUGUCAGACAACCGCAUGAUCAUCCCCAGCCAGAACAUGACUGGAGAACGAUCCUCUACAGACAUGAUGAUCUCGAGGAUCAUCAAGCCAUUACUCACGCUAUGAUCACACGGUCUUGGUUCAUCAACCAGACUUAGAUUCCUGUCUCCUUAGUGAUAAAGGAUACAGAGGUACGAUCCUAUAGAACAGAUCCUGUUCAAGUAAGGUCGUGCCUGACCCUUUGCCUCCACCGCUUUAUUACUUUGUUUACGCCUUCGUUUGUUUCCGAUGUGGGAUCCUUGUCAAUGCUUCGUUCCAGCCUUCCAGGGUAUUUCUGUCCAAAAGAAGAAAGCUUGCGCGCCUCGUGCUUCUCAUGGUCUUGAGAAAAUACAAACUUUAAUUUAAAGUAAAAAAAAAAUAAAAAAAUUGUAAGGUGAAUAUUGUGUCUGUGGUCAUCUCACAGACCAUUACAUUACAUGUGAACAGAGCAUGACAUUUGUCUUUCUAAUUAUUAAUUUCACAGCCCAAAUCGUGUGUAAUGGCCGUUUCUUACUUGAAAGAAAACAAAAAUGGAUUAAAAUUUUAUUUUAAAUGAGCUCCGUGAAUGGAAGGUUCGCAUUGUCGUAAGAAAUUAAAUUGAAGAGUUUAGCUGAUUAUAAUUCGUUUGAUUUUCUCGAUGAUUAGUAAUUAAUUAAGACUAUCAUAAUACUAAGCAAUCUUUAAAAUAAGAGUUUCUAAAUAUUUGUUAUUUUUUAAAAAGUAUUUAUAUAAUGUAUAUAAAAUAUUCACUUUCAUUACUCUUUUGCAAUUGUUUGGCCAUAUCAAGGGCUGAGGGAACGAUCCUCUGCAGCAAAUAUGAUCACAAGGAUCAUCCACCCAUGACCCACUAUCUGAUCUCACGGUCAUGGCUCAUCAACCAGGUUUGGUUCCUACCUCCCUGGUGUUAGGGGAUAAAGAGGUAUGAUCCUAACAGAGCUGUUUGGAAAAUCAUUUUAAAUAAUGUAUUUUAAAAUUUUGAUUUUUUUAUUAAGUUAUUUUUUAAAUGUUUUUUAAAUUUUUUUAUAAGUUAAUAUCAAAAAUAAUUUUUCAAUAAUAAAAAAUAUUAUUUUAAUGUAUUUUUCAUUAAAAAAAAACUUUAAAAAAUAAUUAGUAUUGAUUAAAUAUGUAAUUGAAAGCGAUACAAUUUGAUAAAAUAAUAAAAAUUAUCAUAAUUUAUUAUUUGUUGUUGAUAACUUUAUACUGAUAUUUUUAUAAAAAAAACCUUUAUCAAAAUUUUAGAAUUUUAGAUUAGAAAACAAUUCUCCUCCUAAUAAUCACAUUGAAAACUGUUUUAAAUGGGAUUGUUACAACAUCUUAUGACCAAACUUUGAUUUUAGUUUAAUUUACCCUCACAACAUGAUUACUAAUUAUUAGUGGCAUAACUUUAAAAAUAAAAAAAAGAAUAAAUAUAUUAUAUUCUUACACACACAUAUAAUAUACACAUAUAAUGACAGAGACAGGGGCUAGUAAAGUCUUGACUACUGCAAGAAAAUGUUUUUUUCUAGUUUUUUUAUUGUCAAUAUUUAUAAUUUUAAUAGUAAAAUAACUAAAAUUUUAGUAUUUUUAAAAUAUAUUUUUUAAUAACCCUUUUUAAAUUAUUUUUUUCUUGCCCCACCCUGUAUAUACACACACCUUUUGGUUGAACUUGAUCAUUGAGAGAGCUUGAAUUUUCUCUUAGUUGCUUUUGUAUUGAGACUGUAUUUAGACUUCGGUAUGUAGGUAUCUCAUGAUCCUAAAUGGCUAUGUAAAUUGGUGUUAGGGCCAUUUUAUGUUUAGUAACCAUGAUUUAUCUGAUAAGAAAAGAAAAAGAAAAAAAGAGCAGAAACGAGUUAUGAAACUUGAGGCCCUUGAAUUAUUUGAAAUCAUUAAAUUUCAUCAUUUUAGUUGCAUGAAUGUGUUAACAAAAUAAUAUAAAAUUAUUUUUAAAUCUUAUUUUUGAAUUAAGAUAGUUUUGUUUGACAAAAAAUGUGUUCAUUGAUCAUAUGAUUCAAAUUGUGUUCAUUGAUCUCUUCAACAUAGCACAUAAUCACAUGUAUGAUUAUUACUUAACUGUGUUUUGAAGAUUUAAUGACAAUGAAUUUUUCGAGUUGUAUUCUUAGAUUCAAAUAUUUUUUCCAAUCAGGACAUAUUUAAAUUUUCAUUAGAGAGAUUAGUUGUGUUAAAACGAAAAAAAAAAAAUAUUUACUAUUUCAAAAAAUUUAAGGGAAAAAAAAUGAGAAAAUCUUCGAUUAAUAAAUUCAUGAACAAAUUAAUAGUUUUGAUCGAAGUAAUCAAAAUAGGAAAUAUGUAUAAGACUAAAAAAGAAAAAGCGCCGUUGCCGGAGAUCGAACCCGGGUCACCCGCGUGACAGGCGGGAAUACUCACCACUAUACUACAACGACUUUGUUGAGAUAAGGGGCAGCUAUUAAAAUAAUUGAUCUAUUUAAUAACUGGAGCAUGCUUAGAAUGUAUGAAAUGCCAUAUGACUAUUUAUUUGACCACUACAAAUGCUAGAAAUUCAAUAUUUUCCAUUGUUUUUUUUUAAAAAAAGCUAGAAUAGUCUAAAGUGUAAAGAUACACAUGGAGUAAUCAAGGUUUUUAAUGUGUAAUAAUAAAAUUCUCAAAUGCUCAAGUUAGUUUUUUAUUGGUUGAUGUAUAAUGCUAUUAAAUAAUCAUAAAAGUCUCGAGAAAAAAACUAUUGAAUAAUCAUAAUUGUUUGUUGGUUGACAUGUAAUGGCAUGGUUCUUGCACAUUAGUGAAAAUGGUCUGUGCAUAAAAAAAAAAUUAUUCCCACAAAAACAUUAUAUGAACAGUUGAGAAAAAAAUGAUUUCUUAUUUGUUUUUUCUUGUAUCGUCAACCAUAAUAUAGAAUCAUUAUACAACGAAUCUCAUUUUUGAACAUUGAGAUCCUGAAAUUUGUCAAUGUUCUUCAGAGAUUACAAGGAGCUGGACUAAAUAAUGAUUUGAUUUAAAGCAAAAAAAUACAUUUAGCCUGUCAGACAACCGCAUGAUCAUCCCCAACCAGAACAUGACUGGAGAACGAUCCUCUACAGCCAUGAUAAUCACAAGAAUCAUCAAGCCAUUACUCACGCUAUGAUCACACGGUCUUGGUUCAUCAACCAGACUUAGGUUCCUGUCUCCUUAGUGUUAAAGGAUACAGAGGUACGAUCCUAUAGAACAGAUCCUGUUCAAGUAAGGUCGU
rnacentral:lncRNA from 1 species